rnacentral:misc_RNA from 1 species
CACGUGCAUGCGCGUGUCUUGGGCUCACGCACAUCCCUGCCCAGUCACAUGUGAAGUGCACAUUUCGUCUCCCGCCUUUGCCUCCGCUCCUCCCCGGCAUCUUGGUCUCCCUCUGCUGCGUGGCCUCGCACCUCACCUGACCUCCGCCGUCGGUGCGCUACAGUCUGAAAGCUAUGACAGGCACACAAGCGGCGCAUGCCGGCGGUGCGGCCAACUCACGCCGAGGGGCGUCACAGCGGAUAUCCACAACUGCCGCUUUCUCGUCUUCCUCCACUAUGCGACCUGCCAUUGCGCAUCCGACGGCGGUUGAUGCGGCAGCGAAGCAGCGAACACAGCAUAGACUGCGCGCAAAGUGGAGAGCAGCAGCUGCGGCCCCCCAGCUGCGCGGUCGUCGCGCGGCCGCAUGGCUCAGCGUGUGGGACAGCGCUUGUGCUGCACAGCGCGUGUGCAUGCUGGAGGCGCUGAAGGCGCUGCACAGUGCGAGCAACAGCAACGCGUUGGAGGAGGACCUCGGCGACGCUGCUCCCUUGCUGCUUACCCGCAUCACGUCCUGGUGGAAGCUGCGCUACGGCGCGUGGGUGUCCGACGGCGUGUCCUCGGCGGCCGCCGCGUCUAUGAAAGCUGCUGGUGCCGCUACCCUUAGUGCAACGCAAAAGAUCUCCGCGAAGAGAGGGGCCGCUUCUGUUCCACCUCCGUCCACGACGGCGCCAGACUCCAGCACAAACGCUUCCGCUAACGGAUCAUCUCUGGCAGUGACGUCGACCCCAGCGGCGCCCUCGUCGGAGCUGCUGGCGCAGGUCGAGGCGAUCACGAUCUUUCUGCGCGGUUCUCGCUUUCUCCUCCAGUUCGUGGAGGGCGGCGGGGUCGCGACUCUCACCCACUGCCUGGAGACAACGGCGAGCUCGCCGCCGCCGUUGUCGACGUCGCUGACAGCUAGUGGUGCUGCGGCCGCUGCUGCUGCCACCUCCCCGGCACUGGCUCUGCUCGUGCAAGAGCGGCGGGCCAUAACUCUGCUGCUCUUGCACGUCGUGAACGCAGGUCGCGUGUAUCGCGAGAUGGUGGGUGACAAGGAGGGCCUGCUGCAUGUGUUGCAUACUCUGCAGCGCGAAACAGACGCGCUGGUCGCCGCACCGCUGACGGAGCUGCUGGCCGUACUUGGUCAAGGUCAUCCACGGCUGGCGAGCGGAAUCCAGACGGGGCUGCUGCGUGUGCUAGCCGACGCGGUGAAACCGACUCAAGAGUUGACAGCUACCGAUGCGACGAGCUUGGUGGGGUCGCGGCGCGUGUCUGACGUAGUGGUGCUGCAUACCGCUCGCGCCAUCCGCGCCCUGCAGCUGCAGAGGGAGCAGCACCAUUACGCUCAGUUUUGCCUCGGCGACGGCGCAGAGGCGGCUCUGGAGGCCGGUGUGGACUACGUGCCCAUCGUUGGCAUGGACUGUGCAGAGAAUACGUGGGGCUUUGCGGGGAUGCCAGCCGGUGAACCGCCUCGUGGUUCCUCCGCAUGCGACCCUCUCCUGCGUCCCCUCAGUCGCUGCGAGUACCUCGACACACUCUUCCAGCUCGCCCUCGCCGACCAGGACAUGGCGCUCCAAGUCGAGGGGUGCGAGCUGUUGAGCCUGGCCGCGAAGAACCUGCGCUUCACGCAGGACAUCUUGACGCGUUGUCUCGACGCGGUCGACGACGAUGAGUACGUCAUCCACGGCGAUCAGGAGGACGCCAACGUCCAGCAGGAGCGCCUGCGGCGUCAGCGCCGGCAGCUCUCGUGCGGUCGCACGGCAGCGCUGCUUCUCAUCUCGCGCCCCAUGACAAGCCAGAGGCGCCAGCUGCUGCUGCGUCUCGUGUCGCAGCGUAGCGGACAUUUGACUUUUCUCAAGCACCUGCGCUUGACGGCGCAUGGCGACACUGCCACCGUGGUCGAUUGCUGCCAUGCACUGCAGUUCAUUGUGCGCGCUGCUGCGGAGAUGCAGCGCCAGCAUAUGGAUUUCAGCUGUGUGUCGAGGCUGCAGGCAGCCAGUGGUGCCAGCGGCGACUGCACCUCCUCUGGCGCGUUGUGGCUGCGGGUAACGGAGGCAGUUCAGGCGGCGCUCGGCGAAUCGAUGUUUCAACUGCUCCUCUUCCAGAAGCUGUCGGAGUCGGACUGUAUGGCGGUCUUGCGGGCUGCGCGUGCCGCCGUGGUGCCUCUCGGCGGCGCUGAGGCCUGUUGAGCUGUGGAGGAUACUCUCCUUUUUCAGUAGCACUCACGGGCUGUGCCGUUCGUUAGGAGAUGUGGCAUCGCCUUUUUCCUGCCCGCAGCGGCGUACCCCAAGCUCUCCAGCGAUCGUUCCCCCUCCUCUAAUCCGUGUCUCUGCUUCGCUCGCAUUUGGCGGUGCUCUCCUCGACUUGUUCCUUCUCGCUUCUCUCUCUGUGUUGAGGGGGGCCCGACGUCUCACGCAUAUGUACACUAUGUGAAACCCCACCCAACCCCCGUUGCCCCAUGACGACUGCGUGGUGGGAGUAUGCAGCGCUACAACAAGGGGCUUAUACGUUCUCAACUGCGACGUCAUCAUUUCGCCGUCGCUUCAGGCGACGGAAGUCGCCUUCAGCAACGUUUUAUGCGUGUCUGUGCGCGCGCGACAUACCGAUAACUGCCACUACCCCUAAAGGCAAGGGGAGUUUUCGUUUUUGGGGUGGGUGGGCGGCCAUUGAACGUCCUUUCUUCCUUGGCUCGUACGAAGAUGAUUAUGAGACUCACCGAGGCCAACGACACAGCUGAGCAUGAAAGUCAAAGUAGAGGGAUGGCAGCGGCAGUGGCGCGUCCCACGGUGCAUCUGCAUGCCCCCCUUCCCCCCGUGCUCCCCCCUCAUGCAGUUCAUUG